GAACACAAUACAUGUGUAUGUUGGUGACUAAUGAGGCGGGUCAGGGGAUAGGUAGAGAAAGAUGCUGCUGGUGGAGAGGGGGACUGUGCCCCGUGCCUCUGUGUGGGCAGUGAGAGCCAGCAGAAAGCUGUCACUUCCUGAAAAUGUCACAUGUGAAAUUACACCCUGGUUCCACCCUCCUGAGUCCCUAUGUGCAAAACUAUGUGUCUUCCCGAGUCUUCCUGAUACAUCCCUUCACUUGCUCCCAGCUAAGGCUCUUCCUCAAAGAUCCAGUAACCCAUUUUGCCAUGGAACUGCCUAGUUAGUUGCAAACUGCAGGAAGUGCCAUCAGGAGGGAAGUCAUCAAGGAGUACUAGGCGUUAGAGUUGUGCUUCCUGAGACACCUGUAAGUGUGCUUAUUCCUGCUAAGUCAUCUGGCAUCAACUUAAAAGCAUAGGUUUUUCAAUUAAUUGCGAAGUGGCAAUCAGGCUGUGGGGAGCAACUGUGUGGAAGAAUUAGAGGGAUUCAGGUCUCCUCCAUUCCCCCAAAGACAGAAAGGACCUAAUUAGACCCAAAGCUAAUAUAACAUCUUUCCUGAGGAGCCUUCCUAAGGGGUGGUUUCUUCUGUUCUACUUCCAUUUUUGUAUGUGUUAGUAUUAAUCAGAGUCCACUAAAGUGCUGGAUAGAAAUGUCUCAAGGUACCAUGUAUUCAUGUGAAACAUGUAUACUUCUAUUCUAAAUGGACUUCAAAGAGCAGUUGCUUGAAAACAAAAUGUUUAGUCUAAGAGGCACAUGCUUCACAGACCCUCACCAGCUGUCACAGAGGAAUCGAGUGAUCCACCGGGAUCCUUUCACUCUGGGGCUCAUGUACACUAAAGAUCUGCUUUAACAUCAUGAUUUCAUGUCAGCCUACUUUCAGGGAAAGCAUUGCAUUUAAAGAAACAGAGCAAUGAGAAGUAUGAGAUGGGCUUUGUAAUAAUGGUAUUCUAAAGAUGUGCUGUGCACAUUUGCAUACUUUUUAUCAUCGGACCAGCUAAGCCAGGACACCCCAAUUUCCAUUCUGCUUUUCCUCUCUUAGUUGUUUCUCAACGGAUACUCAUCACUGGCAUUUUUCUACAUCAGUCUUACCUGAUUUCCAUUACCCCUUGUUGUUUUUGACAGAGGUUCAUUAGAUCUCAGAGUAUGCUGGCUAAAUAUGACAGGCUGGUACUUUCAGAAAUAACGGAUUUCCCAUUUUCCUAAUUAGAUCAGCAUCCUUGUACAGACUGCCCAGAUGCAUCUGCCUUUAUGCAAACUCUGAAGGCAGCUCAUGUUGCCUUUUAUUUGGUCAAAGAUAUUUUGUAUAAAAAGAGACGGAUCGGAGUAAACCUGGUUCCAAUGUAUUUUUCUCAUUCAAAUACAUUAAGAUUAUGGGCUUUUCUAGACAAAUGGUUUCAGAGGAGUGUAGCCAACCACUGGCUAUUCACUAACUGAUUAAGUAGAAUGUCUAUGAUGUAAAUUUCUUGUUCUCAAUUUUCUCUCUCCUGACUUUUGCCCUUUCUACCACUUUACUGCAAAAUGGUUAUUUUCUUGUAUUGUCUUCCUUCCUACAGGAAGGAAGACAAUACAAGAAAAAGGAGAGAAAAUUGAUCAAGGUUGACGAAAAUCAUUCCUGGAACUCCCACUCCCCACCUCAGUUGACUUCUGCAAUUCAGUAGCCAGAACAGCACCACCGACCCAUGGAUUAAAACAAUGACUGACAGGGAGGCAAAGUCCACAGCUUACUCCAGACAUAAUACCACCCAUUAUGCUAGGUGGAUGUCUUUCUCCCCGGAAGCUUAUAGAUUAGCUGAAAUGGGUGGAUACUUGAAGAAAAUUGGAGCUUUGCCAGAAGGAAAAAGAAGAAGAGGAUGGAUGUUGAAUAAGCAGCCAAGAAUGUCUACUAUAGGGUGGCAUGAAUCCCAUUUCCUUAUUAGAAAAAGAAUUCAAAAGGUGUGUCCAAUUAGUGAUGAAGAAGUUAUACUCCAUGUAUAAAGUAUACAACUUUUACAUACAGUAGAGAACACCUUCUAUUUUAGAGCUAAAACAAUUUUAUGAACUGUCACUAUCAACAUUUUAUCUCUCUCGAUCUUAAGAGGUUAAGACAAGAUAAAAAUUCCUUCAAGGUCUGAGAUACGAAAACCAUUAUUAAUUCAAAACCUAAAAUAAGGAAAUGCUAAGUAUUUGAAUAAUAUUUUAUUUAUUUUUUAUAAGCUGAAUUUUUAUGCAAAAGAUAUGAGCUAGGCUUUAAAAAAAUAACGAAAUACCAAAAGAGGUAGUUAUGGGAUUGGUGCUAGGGAAAAAUAAAGAUAGAAAAAUAUUAAAGACAAGAAGAGCAUGCAGAAACACAAAUCAUACAUUCCUGGAGAAUUAAGAGCUGCCUAAGAAUUACUCUCUGUGAUUUGAAACAAGAAGGAAAACACUUUAAAACUGACAAUGUCUUUAAGAUAAAAUUACAAUAAUGGUUUAGAGGAGGCAUAGCUUUGCUCGAUAUUAAAACUUAAGAUAAAUUUCACUCACAUUUUCUCAUAAGGAGGACACUGCAAUAAAUAUUAUUCUUAGCAUCAAGGUUUUAAAGGCUGGUAUAUUAAAGUGAUGCUAACCACUGAAACAAACAAACUCUAAUACUUCAGUGCCUUAUCACAGUAAAAAUUUAUUUCUUGAUCAUGUAACAUCCUGUACUGGUGGCCAAAAUGUUUGUAUCUUGCGGGUCCACCUGUCUCCCGGGACUCAAUGCCCUCUGCAUUCAGCUACAGUAGUUUCCCAGCCUGAGCACCACUGGCAUUUCAGAGUGCAUGAUGCUUUGUUGUGGAGGGCCGUUGGGUGUUAUUGUAGGAUGUUGAGAAGCAUCACUGACUACCACUAACUAGACAGCAGAAGCACAACAAUCAAAAAUGCUUCCUACUACUGCUGCCAAUGUCUCCUGGGAGACAAAAUUGCCUCUGGUUGAGAACCGCUGAAUCAGAGAAUGCGGAAAGAGAAAAUCGAGAAGGUACAUCUGGUUUUAUUAAAAUGUAAUUCACACAUGCAUACACAAAUGCUUGGAUCUUAAGUGUUGAGUUCAAUGAGUUUUGACAAUUGUUACACCUGUGUAAUAACCAUUCAGAAGAAGACAUCAACCAUUGUUUUCAUCUAGAACGUUCCCUAGUACUCAUGUGUAGCCAACCCACCAUUCCCCGCAGGCAACCACUUCCUGAUUUUUCUCACUGUAGACUAGUUUUGUCUAUUAUUGAACCUCAUAUGAAUGGAAUUAUACAAUAUGCGCUCUUUUGUGUCUGGCUACUAGCACACAAUGUUUUGAAACUUAUCCAUGUUUUUACCUGAAUCAGUAGUUUUUUCCUCCCUAUUGAGGAAGGGUAUUCUGAUGCAUGAAUACCACGUCACAAAUUUGUUUCUUUGUUCAACGGUUUUACAUUUUCUUUUUAAACAAUUUGACCUAAAAGUGAUGUGUUUCACUUCUGUUCAGAUUCCACUGGUGAGAACUAGUAUCAUGACCCAUCUAAUUGUAAGGCUGGGAAAUGAUGUCUUUUGCAGACCUGUGAUUCACAGAAGGCUUCACUUGAAUUUCACAUGUGAGUACAUUAUGUUUUAAUCUAAACUAAAGAGAAAACAGAUAAUCCAUAAUAAUAGAAAUGUAAAUGAAACAUUUAUCACAAUUAUCCAUGAAUGGAAGCUCACAGUCAUGAAUUCAUGAAUAUUUUUAGAAUAAAAUUUUUCCCAGUCCCUUUAAAAGGGUUGGCACCCUAAAAGCACAUUGUAAAAACAGUUGUCUUUCCUGCUUGAAUAAUGCUGAAAGAUGAAAGAGACCAGCAUUCUUUGCUUUACUUUUACUAAUGAUUUCACAUAUAUAAGCACAUGAUAAAAAUACAACAGGAAAACUAUGAUUGAAGAUGAAUUGAUAUAAAUCUAUGCCUCAUUUGGAAAUAUGAGCAUAUCUGUUGGGAUUCCAUCAUAUAAAAAUAGAGAUUUUAUUUAUAAAUGUGCAUGUAUGUGCUGUCAUAUCAUGAACCUUUUUUAUUUGCCUAAUCUAACAUAUUCACAAUAUUUCAUUCCUCUAACAUACCUAAUGUAUACUCAUUCUAUAUUCUGUGUAUGUGGGUUCUUAAGAGUGUUCCCAACCUGUGUUCCCCGGAAGGAUUCAGACCUAAAUGUGUGUCUGAGUGGGACUGAUAUGAGCCUGGUGGGGAUCUCAGAAGGCUCUAAAGAAACCCUAGGAAAACAACCCCCUUCAAAGAAAAGCAAGCAAAUCUGGCUCAAAGCAAGAUUUGGCUGUCCUCUAUACUUUUAACUUAAAAAUCUGAGCACAGAUAAAGGGAGUUGCCAUCCUUUUUUAAAAGCCCUGAAUUCAUGUUUGCAGGCCGACAAUUAUCUCAGGGGGUUCAGUGAGUAUAACAGACCCAUUCUUGGUCUUUAAGUUUGUCAUUGUCUUUGCAAAAAUCAAAACUCUGGUAUAUUUCAUUUCCAAGCUUAAAAUGCCUUGAAACUCUAUUAUGUUUUACAUUUUAAAAAGUCAGAGCGAGCAUAACUGCAUCUAAUUUGCAAUGCUUGCCUAGUCACAGUGUUAAUUCACAGGACUUGUGUUAAUAAUAUUAUGUACUUCAAAGUGAAUCCCGUAUAUUCUACAGAAUUAACUAGAGUUGUUCAGGGGCCUGUUAACAAGUUGCUGAAAUGCAGAAGCUUUUGGGUUUGCUGAGCAGUCAUAGCCUAUUACAAGUUGUGUCAAGAAAAUUUCAGGGACAGGCCAACGAGAAUCGCUGUUCUUGGUGGAGCCUUAGGCACUGCUUUCAGAUUGCAUUAAGAAUCACAUAUGCAGGGAUUCCAGAUAACUAUUAUAGGUGGGCUCCAGUUUAAGAAAUAUUAGUUGUGAAAGGCAGUCUUGGAACAGGUCUAAAUUAGCAAAAAUAAUGAGUUUCCUAUCUAUGCAACAACUCUCAUUCAUUCAUUCAACAAAUGUUUCCUGACCCUUGCCACGAAUCCCCAUAGUAUUCCAGGAGUACUCUGAGUAAGACACACCCUUUCUCUGAAGGAGCUGACACCUUGGAGGUAGAUAUUAAUAAUUAGCUACAUCCAGAGGUGAUAGGUAAAAACAAGAUACUAUGAACACCAAAAUCAUGGAGACAAUAUUUCCAGCAAGAAAUUCCAGGAGAGUUCCACAGGGAAGAUAGUUCCUAGCUGACACUCAAAGGUAGCAUUAGUGACUACAAGUAGGAAAGAUGAACAAUGCUUAGAGGAAUGAGGAUAGGAAGCUACACAUGCACUGGACAUGG